AUCGCAACCCUCUACUUUCUCCACAACAACUUUUCCCACUUCAUCUUCUCCAAAUUAAGUCCAUUAAAUUGUGGAAGUUGAAAGGAUGCAGCUAUAUAUUUACAUGGGGGCCGUCGAUCGAUCACAUCAGAGUCAAUAAGACGAGACGUGGAGGUUGAGAUUCAAGUCAAGGUUCAGACCAGCGGCGGAGGCGGAGCGGCGGCUCGUCGGCGCGGCGGCCUUCGCGGUGGUCGUGGUUCAGGUAAAGGUUCGGAUCGGCGGAAGAGACGGAGCGACGGCUCGCCGGCGCGGCGGCCUCCUCGAUGGUCGUGGUUCAGGUAAAGAUUCGGAUCGGCGGAAGAGAUGGAGCGACGGCUCGCCGGCGUGGCAGCCUCCUUGGUGGUCGUCCUCCAUCUGUUGGUGUUGCUGCUCGGCGCGGAGGCCUCCUCGGUGGUCGUGGUUCAGGUAAAGGUUCGGAUCAGCGGAAGAGACGAAGCGACGGCUCAUCGGCGCAGCGGCCUCCGCGGUGGUCGUGGUUCAGGUAAAGGUUCGGAUCGUCGGAAGAGACGGAGCGACGGCUCGCCGGUGCGGCGGCCUCCUUGAUGGUCGUGGUUAAGGUAAAGGUUCAGAUCGGCGGAAGAGAUGGAGCGACGGCUCGCCGGCGUGGCAGCCUCCUUGAUGGUCGUGCUACAUCCGUUGGUGUUGCUGCUCGCAGCCAUGGCCUCCUAAUCCCACCGUCUGGUCAGCGGCGUCAGUUCACACCCUGCCGCUGUCUACUUCUGAUGCGUGCUUAUCAAUUUCCUGCACAUUCGCUGCUUAACUCACCCAUGCAUCCGUCCUCUUAUUCUCCUUCGAUGCAGGGCUCCGCGUUGCUCUGUCCUACGCACUACCGUCACCAUCCACACCUAAUCGACUAGGCUGCACUGCAGCAAGCAUUAGCAUCAGCCAAUGGAAUUGCUGGCUUCGUCAAAAGGAGGAUAGCUGCUGCCUCAGAUUUUCAUGGGACAACUGCAUCAUGAUCUGUUGCGAUGAGAAGAGACACUAGCAGUUAAGACUCAAGAGCAUAUGUACACCCGAGAUACCAGAUAAUACUUAAGUUUCAGAUUUGUUAUUGAUCUGAUAUUUGCUCUAACAGGAUGCAUCACUCAUGUUACUAUACUAAAUUUCUUUGUGAUAUACAAUGCCACCAUCCACUAGAGGUUACUUUUGUCUGGAUGAUAGGGUAAAAAAACUUUUGUCUGCAUUAGUUCUCUUCCAAUCAUUCUCAUAUUUUAACAUUGUGAGUCACUUCGGCAUAUGUGCGCACCCAAGAUUGUUGGAAGUAUGCGCAAUUUCUGCUCUCACCAUCAUCAACUCUUCUUACCUUAACCUAUGCGAAAUCGGAUUUAUGGUACAAAUUGAAUUGGCAAUUUCUGCUCUCACCAUCAUCAACUCUUCUUACCUUAACCUAUUUUCGGUCUAUUUAUUUGUUCUUUGUGGGCAAGAUGUUUCCGGUGCACAAAUGGUUGGUGGUGUCACUAUAUUUUGUCAAUGCGAACUGAAACAAGAAAUGUUCAUAUGUUUUUGAAAGGAAAUGUUAUGUAUUUUUCUAGCCAAUUGUGCAUUGUUCAAUCUCAUGAAAUAGUUUUAUUUUAGCUGAGAGACGACAUGGUUAACAAGAAUAUCCAAAUC